UUGGCUCCCGGUGGCUUCACUUUCCAGGACUGAGGGGCGGCCAGAGCCGCAGCCGCGGGCAGCAGCCUCGAGAGCCGGAGCUGGAAAGGCCGGGGGCGGCGUUGAAUUGUAUUGUCAAGGUGAUGUGCAGAGGGGUUACAGUUACAAACAUAAGUACCCAAAUAAGAAUAGGAGAGUGAGUAGUGACCCCUUGAGACUGUUGAAGUUAUUCAUUGUCCUCAGAAUCAUGGAUACAUCAAGCAGUGCAAGAAGGUGAACCAACAUUCCACAUCUCUUCACCAAAUUGUCCCCACCCAGCACUAUCUUCUCAGAAUAUCCUCUGUGCCUCUAUUUCUUUACAACGGAAUAAAAGUGGAUGCCUUAUAUUUUCAUAGA